AAAUAAAUAAAAUGAGACAAGUGAAAUUGAAACAAAGGAUUUGCACAUGUUGGAGGUUUAACCCAUGACCUUGGGGUCAUGGGGGGAUCAACCCCCUCUCCCACUAGGCCAAGAGCUCUCUUGUGCAAGCAAACACAUUGAAAUAAAUAGAUAUUAAAAACAAAAAAUGAAAUGGAUGUACGCGCUGAUCAACUAACCAGAGUGGGACACAACACAAUUUCAAAUUCAAAAAAUGCACAAACAGUUGUCUUCUAUCUCGAGCAAACUAAAAAUGAAACUUCAAAAAUCCAUUUUUCAAUUAGAUUCAAGCAUGGAGAUAGCUUGUAUGAUCAAAAAU
rnacentral:lncRNA from 1 species